UCCCGCCCCUUAGCUCGUCGCUUUUCUCAUAUCUGCAGUACUUCUGUCAGCUGAACGUUUGUGCUGAAUAACUCUUGAACAGGGGUCAAAAACACGAAGAUGUCUACUCGGAUUAUGCAAGUGGCUCGAUGUCCAACAGACGAACUGUCACUGAGCAACUGUGCCGUCAUCAAUGAGAAGGAGCCACAGCUUGAACUACAUGCGACGGUGCGCAAUUUAGCCCACAAGUAUGUGUUCACCUUGAAGACUCAUCCCAGUGUCAACGCUGGGACCAUUGCCUUCAGCCUGCCACAGAGAAAAUGGGCCGGCCUAUCGAUUGGACAAGAGGUUGAAGUAACAAAUUACACGUUUGACAAGUCCAGACAGUGUAUAAGCAACAUGACAGUGGAAAUCGACUUCCUGCAGAAGAAGAGUGUGGACAGCAACCCUUACGACUCGGACAACAUGGCCAAUGAGUUUAUCCAGCGCUUCAACAACCAGGCCUUCAGCAUCGGCCAGCAGCUGGUGUUUAGUUUCUGUGAUAAGCUGUUCGGCUUGCUGAUAAAGGAUAUUGAGGCCAUGGACCCCAGCAUCCUAAAGGGAGAACGAGCCUCUGGCAAGAAACCAAAGACUGAGAUCGGUUUGUUGCUGGCAAACAGUCAGGUGAUUUUUGAGAAGUCAGAGAGCUCAUCCAUGAACCUGGUUGGGAAAGCCAAGACCCGAGGGUCUCGCCAGUCCAUCAUCAGCCCAGACUGGAACUUUGAGAGGAUGGGUAUUGGCGGUCUGGACAAGGAGUUUUCUGACAUCUUCCGUAGAGCCUUUGCAUCCCGAGUUUUCCCUCCAGACAUUGUAGAACAGAUGGGCUGCAAGCAUGUGAAGGGAAUCCUGUUGUAUGGACCCCCAGGCUGCGGUAAAACCCUGAUGGCACGACAGAUUGGCAAGAUGCUUAAUGCCCGGGAGCCAAAGAUCGUCAAUGGCCCAGAGAUUCUCAACAAGUACGUCGGAGAGUCUGAGGCCAACAUCAGGAAGCUGUUUGCAGAUGCAGAGGAAGAACAGAAGAGGCACGGUGCUAACAGCAGCCUGCACAUCAUCAUAUUUGAUGAGAUCGACGCAAUCUGUAAACAGCGUGGCAGCAUGGCAGGCAGCACAGGAGUCCACGACACCGUAGUCAACCAGCUUCUGUCCAAGAUAGAUGGAGUGGAGCAGCUCAACAACAUCCUGGUCAUAGGUAUGACCAACAGGCCUGACUUGAUAGAUGAGGCCUUGUUGAGGCCAGGAAGACUGGAGGUGAAGAUGGAGAUCGGGUUACCAGAUGAAAGGGGACGAAUUCAGAUUCUUCACAUUCACACAGCAAAGAUGCGUCAGCACGAACUGCUGGCCGGUGACGUAGACAUUGAGGAGCUGGCCGUGGAGACUAAGAACUACAGCGGUGCAGAGCUGGAGGGCCUGGUCAGGGCUGCACAGUCGACUGCCAUGAACAGACAUAUCAAGGCCACUAACACAGUGGAGGUAAACAUUGAGACGGCAGAGAAGCUGCUGGUCAGCAGACUUGACUUCAUGAGCUCACUGAAUAACGACAUCAAACCUGCGUUUGGUACCAAUCAAGAGGACUACGCCAGCUACAUCAUGAACGGGAUAAUCCGAUGGGGUGACCCAGUGUCAGCGGUCCUAGAGGAUGGGGGGCUGCUGGUGCAGCAGACGAAGAACAGCGACCGCACACCGCUGGUCUCUGUGCUACUUGAGGGUCCACCUAACAGUGGGAAAACUGCACUAGCUGCUAAGAUCUCUGAAGAGUCCCAGUUCCCCUUUAUCAAGAUCUGCUCCCCCGACAAGAUGAUCGGACACUCGGAGAUCGCCAAAUGCCAAGCCAUCAAAAAGAUAUUUGAAGACGCCUACAAGUCCCAGCUGAGCUGCGUGGUUGUAGAUGAAAUUGAACGUCUGUUAGACUACGUCCCAAUUGGCCCUCGUUUCUCCAACCUGGUGUUACAAGCUUUACUGGUGCUGCUGAAGAAACCUCCUCCGAAGGGUCGUAAGCUACUGAUCAUCGGCACCACAAGUCGUAAAGACGUCCUCCAGGAAAUGGAGAUGUUGGAUGCUUUCAGCACUACCAUCCACAUUCCCAACAUAUCCAGGGGAGAGCAGCUGGUCGAGGCCCUGGAGCUGCUGGGCAGUUUUCAGGAGGUGGAGCGGGCAAGCAUAGCUAAAGCUGUGAAAGGCCUAAAUAUGUGGAUUGGCAUAAAAAAGUUGCUCAUGCUGAUUGAAAUGUCCGUGCAGAUGGAUCCUGGCUACAGAGUUAGCAAGUUCCUCAGUCUACUGAAGGAUGAAGGAGCACUGGGUUCUGAUAAGUUUAUGUCAAUCUAGACUCAGUGGAGCCACAUAGUGAAAAAGAGGCGUCCUUCAACGAGUCCCAUGUGGGCAGCACAAUCAUGUAAAAAAAACAUUGCUGAGGAACGGAAGCCUGAAAGAGGCUGGCAGGAGGAAGCAAGCAAGAGAUAGUUUCCAUCUCUCUCUCUCUCUGCAUCCUUCCUUCCCAUCCCUGUGUGCUUCUCUCUGCACUGCAGCUUUCUGCAGCCACAACCAGCCAGGCAACCUCCUCCUCUUCAGCACUAUGUGAACAUAUAAAAUAAGAGAAAUAAGCGGUGUUUGUUGUAUCUGUGUAUAUUGCAUUUCCUGAAGACCAGUGCUGUAAUCUCUAUGUGAUGCUGCGGGCACUUCAUUGGGAUUUUAUAUAAGAGUCCAGGCAAAACAUAGAUUACCAUGGCAAAUAGAUAUGCAUGCACAAACACUAUCAUCAUAACACUGUUUGUUUAUAUAGGCCGUAUCUGUAUGCACAGAUGUGUAAUCUGAUCAUUCCACGACAUGGUGGCUCCAUGACUUAAAGAUCUCACUUUGUUCCUUAUCAUGUUGUGUACUUGCUUGUGCCUGACCGUUUUAUUUUAUGAAUAAAUUAAUGAUAUUCCUAACAAGAAA